CCUGGCCUUGGGCCGCUCGCGGGAGCUAGUCGCUUGCGACGACGCUGCCGAGGGUGCUUAGCCCUUGACUAUCACCUUGACUACGUGCACCUUUUGUUGUUUCCUCGGCAGGUCAUCUGCCGCCAGGAACCCCUUAAACCUUUUUGCAACAGCAUCCAAAACUUCUGAAAACAAACCAAAAUUAUUUA
rnacentral:misc_RNA from 1 species